GAAGAAGAAGAAAAAGAAAACGUAUAAACGUACGAGCGAACGUUGGAGGAGCACCUGUGCGAAUAAACAAUAAAAAGAUAGGAUCUGUUUAAAGGUAGCCUCGAGAACGGUUGUUAAUAAGAAAGAAAACGAAAGGGGAGGGGGAAAACGGGGUGAUGCGAGGCGAAGAGAGAGAGAGGUG